CCGCCGCCGGUGCUCCUCCUGUCGCCCAGAGCAGGGCGGCCGGCGCGCCCCCCUCUUCUCCCCACCCAACGCUGGUGCCGGUUGGUUGCUCCUUCAUCGUCGAGGGACGUUCGGGGAAGGACCAGAGGUGGGGCGCCGGCGGCAGGGAGCUAGGUGAGGCGGAGGGUCCCGUCUCCGGCGACGAAGCCAUGGAUGUUCAACCAGAACAUCAUGUUCGCGUUGACCUCUGUGGGCUGCUGCUUCUCCAACAUCGUCUGCAAGAAGUGGUACAUCGACAUGAACAAUAGGGCUGGAGAGUUCAAGGAGCCGGACUGGUUCUUGAACAGAAAGAAGGGCGGCAUGUUCCUGACCAGGAAGGACUACAACUUUAUUUGGUUCCCAAAUUUUUCAUAAGAAUCUGCAACCGUAUGAGUAGCAAGUAAAUUUGGCAUAGCUAUUCAAUUCAGCGCAUCUUGCAGUACAGUACUGCGGUGCACGGAGAAGCGGCGCAACCUGUGGCGCGAGCUGCUGUACAUGAGCGGCGGAGGGAUGGACCUUUUUGUUGUUCCCCGCUCACGAGCUGUUCUCGGUACGCGCUGUUCUUGGUGCGGUUUAGCUCAUGGGGAAAAUAAGGAGAUGUUUCUUCAAGUAAUUUGGGAUUUGGUCUUUAAGCUACGAUUCCACACCAAGAUUAUGUUCUCUGGAGCUAACCGUGCUGCUGUGCUGGACAGGCAGAUGAGGGCCGGCCUGCUGCCGAUACAAGCCGUCGAGGUGGACGGCCAGCACUAAAUCAUUUGCAGGUAUCUAGAGUUACAUUCCGGUGGCUGAGAUGCAUAUAGUUGUUGGCUGUAGUUCCUUCCAUUUGUCCGCUCGACGUGGAGAUUGACCCUCUAUGUAGCAUGCAACACUCAGCUGGGAAAUGCACUUAUAGGAACUAAUCACUUACUUUGCUGAACUCAGUCUGUUGUCCAGUUUCCGCAGACAUUUGUCAGCUGGCAAGAAGGUUGAAGGCACAUCGACUUGCUUCGAUUAAUUGGUGGUGCGGGCUGGACGACACCGAAGUAGUCAUCUUCGCCGGCCCCCUCACUGCGUACGCAUACUCCUUCAAUUUUUCCCUCCUACUGGUGUUGUGAUCUGGAGAAGCUCAAGUAGUCAUCUUCGUCCAUCACGUCACUGCAUACGCAUACGCCUCUGAUUUUUGGCUCCUGCUCAAAGGAAUAGGAACGUUUCCCACAAAAAAAAAGGAAUAGGAAUGUGCUCCUCCCAAAAGACAAUAAAAAUCCAGCACCAACAAUGAAUAGCCGGAGUAAACAAAACAAGCAGACCAAAUCGUGUCGGCCCUCGAGGAAGGGUUGCAGUGUCGAGGAGCAGCAGGCAUGUAAAUCUGACUGCAAUUCAUGUAUGUCUCUUCCUAUUUAUCUGUUGUUCAACUGUGUUAUUUGUGUACUAGACAGAUUUGAGUAAUUGUUAGCUAAUGUAGGUGCAGCUUCAUGAACGUCUGCCAAGGUUCUCAGUGAGGGCUUCCUCUAAGAUGCUUUCAGAUUUUUGAUUAUCUAGCAUAUAUAUGCAGUGAAGAUGUCUCUCCUUUUUGGUACCGCUCUGAAUAGGAUACAUGGUGUUCAUGUUCUGUUAGAUAAUUUUAUUCUUGUGUAGUUUGAUUUAAAAGAUGAUAGGUCAGAAUGACAGAAUGUGAUUAGUUUUGCUUUUGCUGCUGCUACACAUGAUUUUACUUUUGUUUUUGAUUGUUUCUUUUUCAGUUUCUUAAGGCUAGAACACUACAGUGAUUGAUUAUGCACCUGAAGGCUUAAUGAAGCUGCUUGGACUGAAUUUCUCUUUAAAAUACAUGGUGCUUGUUUGGGAUGUUUGGGCAAAAAUAGUUGGGAAUUGGUUUUUUAUUAUAUGCAAAGCUUCAAGCCUUGGGGUCUUGCUGACAUUAGUUGUUUCAAGUUCAGACCUUAUUCAUCGCUGACUAUACUCUCUUAAGUCAGGUCAUGGUGGAUGGUUGAGAGGAGGGAGGCAGAGCAGAGACAAACGGCGCAUUCCGCCAUGCAUGUGUGUGGAUUUGUAUCAUCCUACUACUGUGUUGCUUUGUUUUACAGUAAUAAAUAAAGAGAUGAAUCAGAUUUUCUUUGGUUCGUUAGCAAAAUUUUACACAUCAAGUAUUUGAUCUCA